rnacentral:rRNA from 1 species
AAGCCAGACUCCUACGGGAGGCAGCAGUGGGGAAUAUUGCACAAUGGGGGAAACCCUGAUGCAGCGACGCCGCGUGAAGGAAGAAGUCUUUCGGUAUGUAAACUUCUAUCAGCAGGGAAGAAAAUGACGGUACCUGACUAAGAAGCCCCGGCUAACUACGUGCCAGCAGCCGCGGUAAUACGUAGGGGGCAAGCGUUAUCCGGAUUUACUGGGUGUAAAGGGAGCGUAGGCGGUGCAGCAAGUCAGAAGUGAAAGCCCGGGGCUCAACUCCGGGACUGCUUUUGAAACUGUUGAACUAGAUUGCGGGAGAGGUAAGUGGAAUUCCUAGUGUAGCGGUGAAAUGCGUAGAUAUUAGGAGGAACACCAGUGGCGAAGGCGGCUUACUGGACUGUAACUGGCGUUGAGGCCCGAAAGCGUGGGGAGCAAACAGGAUUAGAUACCCCAGUA